CAGGAGAGUACAAACAGUAUAGAAAUGGUUUCCUUUUCACCGUUGAAAUCCUUUGCAGUGACAUUCUAGAAAAUGCCGAGAGUCCUCUAUGGGGAGAGUUGGUCACUAUUUUAAAGGUGGCUUGAAAUACAUGGGCUAAUCUAGGAGAGAAGACUAAACCCAGGCUAAGACUAUAAUUGGGAAAGAGUCAGCAGUCACUCCUGUUAGGCAGGAUAGGGGAGAGGGGAACGUUUGAUCAUUUCUGUAGUCAGACAGUGUUCAUGUUUUGUCUGUGUUCAGACAUAGUUACGAAGUGGUCUUGUCUUUGUCUUGGUCCAUCCUGGUCACAGAAUGGCUUCAUCUGAUGUUGACACUCUGUGAAAUGCUUUAUGUUCAACAGGAGAACACCAAGGCCUCACUGAGAGUGUCAGACGAGUCUGGAUGGCAGGGGUUACAUGCUGUCCCUCAACCGAGUGCCAUCUCACCCGGGACCCAUCAUAGCCCAUGCAGGACCCAUCGGUUCAUCUUCUGCUGCAGCGUUCAUAGUUCUAGAGCCUGGACCUUGGAUGCAAAACAUUCAAACUCACCGAGUGUUGAAAAGAGGGUCAAGAGGAGCCAAGCAACUCAUGGAACUUUUCUCCCGGGUAAGAAACCUGCAUCCCAGGGUCACAGUCCCCUCUCUUUGUGUCUUUUUUCCCCUUUGUGUCUUUAAUUUGUUCCUCACCACUAGUUAUUUUACUUCAUCCUACAAAUAGACCCCCAAAUCAAGAAUGCAACUGGCUACGAGGCACAGAUCCUCCUGAGUAUCUGGUGGGUGACUCCCGUGUAACCCAUUCAAAAUGGAAUCCAUCAGGUGCUACUCCCCCGCCUACAUCCACCUCCCCAGACCUGUUCUAUUCCUGUACACUAUUUACUGAUAUAUAAACACACUCAAUCUAAAAACCUUUUUCAUAAGCAGAAGUUCAUAUAAAUGACUAUUAAUUCUCACUCUUAUUAAUGUCACAGUAACAUUUUUCUAGUAAUAGAAAAGUAAGCUUAAACAUUAAGCUAGUGAUAUUGACAACAUAAAUUGUAUUAUAAAGGUAACUGUAAACUCUGCAAUUACACUAAUAAAAUAAAAAUUUCUAAAGUGAC
rnacentral:lncRNA from 1 species